rnacentral:piRNA from 1 species
UCGAGAAUCAUAUAGGAGAC